AAUGAACGCUGGCGGCAUGCCUAACACAUGCAAGUCGAACGACAGCACAGGAAGAUCUGGCUCUUACGGGUGGCGAGUGGCGGACGGGUGACGAAUGCAUCGGAUUCCACUUUUUCGGGGGUGAUAACGUAGGAAAACUUAUACUAAUACCGCAUACAUCCUACGGGGGAAAGCAAGCGUUCUUCGAACUUUUCGCGAUUGAAUGAGCCGAUGUCGGAGUAGCUAGUUGGCGGGGUAAAGGCGAAGCUUGGCGACGAUCCGUAGCUGAUCUGACAGGGUGAUCAGCCACACUGGAACUGAGACACGGUCGAGACUCCUACGGGAGGCAGCAGUCGGGAAUCUUGCACAAAGGGGGAAAGCCUGAUACAGCAAUACCGCGUGAGUGAUGAAGGCGUUCGGGUUGUAAAGCGAUUUUGUUGGGAAAGAAAAAAAGCACGUUUAUCCAGGGCUGUAAUGACGGUACCGAAAGAAUAAGCACCGGCUAACUUCGUG
rnacentral:rRNA from 1 species